CGAACGGGCGAACGUUAGAUGGUUUCAAUUGGUUUAAAGGAUCCGCAGGCGGCCUAGGCUAAUCUAAUCUACUACGGUAGAUAGGGCAGUCUCUUAGGCUAGGAUCUGAUUGGGGGUGAUGGAAUGCUAGGUACAGGGAUGAUAUCCUCUGACCUCUAGUAGAACACUAACGGCGAAGGCAGUCACCCAGGUACAGAUCGACGCUCAGGGGAUGGAAAGCGUGGGUAGCAAACCGAAUU
rnacentral:rRNA from 1 species